rnacentral:rRNA from 2 species
CUUUCCUUCAGUUCGGCUGGAUAGGUGACAGGUGCUGCAUGGCUGUCGUCAGCUCGUGUCGUGAGAUGUUGGGUUAAGUCCCGCAACGAGCGCAACCCUCGCCUUUAGUUGCCAGCAUUUGGUUGGGUACUCUAAAGGAACCGCCGGUGAUAAGCCGGAGGAAGGUGGGGAUGACGUCAAGUCCUCAUGGCCCUUACGCGUUGGGCUACACACGUGCUACAAUGGCGACUACAGUGGGCAGCCACCUCGCGAGAGGGAGCUAAUCUCCAAAAGUCGUCUCAGUUCGGAUCGUUCUCUGCAACUCGAGAGCGUGAAGGCGGAAUCGCUAGUAAUCGCGGAUCAGCAUGCCGCGGUGAAUACGUUCCCG